rnacentral:rRNA from 1 species
UACGUAGGUGGCAAGCGUUGUCCGGAUUUACUGGGUGUAAAGGGCGCGUAGGCGGGAUGGCAAGUCAGAUGUGAAAUGCCAGGGCUUAACCCUGGAGCUGCAUUUGAAACUGCUGUUCUUGAGUAUCGGAGAGGCAGGCGGAAUUCCUAGUGUAGCGGUGAAAUGCGUAGAUAUUAGGAGGAACACCAGUGGCGAAGGCGGCCUGCUGGACGACAACUGACGCUGAGGCGCGAAAGCGUGGGGAGCAAACAGG